CCCGCUGAACUUAAGCAUAUCAAUAAGCGGAGGAAAAGAAACUAACAAGGAUUCCCCUAGUAACGGCGAGUGAAGCGGGAAGAGCUCAAAUUUAAAAUCUGGUUUGCUUGCAAAUCCGAGUUGUAGUCUGAAGAAACGUUUUCCAUGAAAGCUGAGGCACAAGUCCUUUGGAACAGGGCAUCAUAGAGGGUGAGAAUCCCGUCCAUGGCCUCAAGUCUUUUAUUUUGUGAUACGUUUUCUAAGAGUCAGGUUGUUUGGGAAUGCAGCCUAAAAUGGGUGGUAAAUUUCAUCUAAAGCUAAAUAUUGGCGAGAGACCGAUAGCGAACAAGUACCGUGAGGGAAAGAUGAAAAGAACUUUGGAAAGAGAGUUAAACAGUACGUGAAAUUGUUGAAAGGGAAACGCUUGAAGUCAGUCGCGUUGCCCAGAAAUCAACCUUGCUUUUGCUUGGUGUACUUUCUGGUUAACGGGUCAGCAUCAAUUUUGACCGGUGGAUAAAGGUCAGGGGAAUGUGGCAUCUUCGGAUGUGUUAUAGCCCUUGGUUGCAUACAUCGAUCGGGAUUGAGGAACUCAGCAUGCCGCAAGGCCGGGUUUUUAACCACGUACAUGCUUAGGAUGCUGGCAUAAUGGCUUUAAUCGACCCGUCUUGAAACACGG
rnacentral:rRNA from 1 species